CUACUCGCUUUGGCAGUACAUAUACUAAAUUGGAUGAUACAAAGAAGAUUAGCAUGGCCCCUGUGCAAGGAUGACAUACAAAGUCAUGAAGCGUUCCAUAUUUAA